rnacentral:lncRNA from 1 species
UUCAUCAACCAGAAAAAGGGAAAACACAACAUAGUAAAGCAAGGGAAGUCCUUUAUGGGUCUUUUGACUCCCACAUUUAUUUAGAUGCUAUUGGAAUCCCAUGAGGAGUACCAGAUAUAUUUAAGCCCAAGUUCAAAUAGCUACCGGAUUUGAAUUGAUAUUUUGGUAUGUGACAAUAAAAAUGUAGAUUGGAUAAAUUAAAUCUAUAAUAAUCAACAGUGGUUUAUUAAUUACACCAGGGGUGUUGUCAAAGGAAUAGCGGAACAAUUGAGGCCCACUAGCCAGAUGGCCUGGGAAAACAGAAUGGCCCUAGUUAUGAUAUUAGCUGAAAAUGGUGGUGUUUGUGUUAUGAUUAAAACUCAGUGUUGUACCUUUAUCCAUUGGGGGCAAACAACACUGCCCCCAAUGGGAGCAUAACAAGGGCCCUACAAGGAUUUACCACUUUAUCCAAUGAAUUAGCUAAAAAUUCUGGAGUCAAUAACCCUUUCUCAAGAUGGCUAGAAAGGUGGUUCAGUAAAUGGAAAGAAAUUGUAGCCUCAAUUCUUACUUCUCUUACAGCAGUAAUUGGUGUACUCAUUCUUGUUGGGUGUUGUGUCAUACCAUGCAUCCAUGGGCUAGUGCAAAGGCUUAUAGAAACAACACUUUCUAAAACCUCCCUUAGCUGUCCUCCACCUUAUUCAGAUAGGCUUUUCCUUUUAGAGGAUCAAGUUGAAAAAAAAAAUCCAAGACAUGCUAAAAAGGUUUGAAGAGGAAGGGCUAUAAAAAUUGAAAGAGGCAAUUGUAGAAUACAGUGAAUUACUCUUCAAAGGUUUUAGCCUGUUAACAUCCUUUAAAAUUCAAGAGAGGGAAGAUUGUUAAGUACAGUGAGUUCUCAUUUCCUCUUCAAAGAGUCAAUAAGUCAGUAUGUUCAGCUUCUCUGUUCUUUGUUCUCCAUUUAAAGUUUAACUUCCUCAUUCUUUAUGCCUCCUUGCCCCUAGUUUCAGUAAAUGACCCCCUCCUAGUCCCUAUCACCUACUCUGUCCUUAGUCAUUCUUAGUCACUUGCUCUGUUCUUAGUCAUCCUUAGUCACCUGCUCUGUAACCAUCCUUCCUGAGGAAACUACCCACCCCGCCACUCUGGCUUGCACCCCUGUCCUCUUUGAAGUAGCCAGUCAAAAUUAGCUUAGAGUGUGCAGUACAACCCUAUCCAAUAGGGGAAAGAUACAGCAGUAGGGACUAUCUGUAUUAGGAAUAAGAACCCUUUCCCCUCCCUUAUCCAGUGUGCCCUUGCCAUUGCUCCAUCUGCAAGACUCACCCUUCUAUAGAAGUAAAUUUGCCUUGCUGGAGUGUUAACUUGUUGUUGGAGUGCUAACUCUUCUUUGUGGCACCAAAAAGUUAUUUCCAACACGAAGCUGCACCCUUGGUGGAGGGAACAUCUGACGAAGUUCAAUGUUUGGGGAAAACAAUAUCUGGAAAGAUUGAAGAGUCAGCAGGAGAAACACCUAGGAAAAUUACAAGGCCUGUGAAAGAAACAUCUGAGAAAUUUGCAUGGCCACAAGAAAGACCUACAAAGACCACAUGGGAGGAAAAAGAAACAUCUGUAAAGACUGAAUGCGUGGCAGGAGUAACAUCUAAUAAAACUGAAGUUUUGGAAGAAGGAACAUCUAAGAUGAUCACAUGUCCUACAAAAAAACAGCUACAAAAGCAAGUACACAUGUUCCUCAGUGUGGCUGGCCUAGAUAUUGACCCUACACAGUUGCCUCCUCCUGGUGACUACCAGCUAUGGAACCGUUGGAUACAACCUACCUGACUCACCCCACAGACCUCACAGCGCACAUGGACAGACCCCACACGCCAGAGUGACCUGCUCGGUUGCAGCGGGAGUCAAGAAAUGUGCCUGCUGGCACUCACCCCACAGACUAGUGCCCCGUGGAAAACUUAUUUGGGUAAUGUUCUGGGCCGAAUAAAGGCUGGAGUCCCACAGACCCCUUUUCUCUCUCCUGCUCCCCACUCAUCUUCCCCAUUUUGUUCAGCCCUAUGAGGUGUGCUACUGUAUUAGUCCGUUUUCACACUGCUGGUAAAGACAUGCCCAAGACUGUGUAAUUUCCAGAAGAAAGAGUUUUAAUAGACGCACAGUUCCACAUGGCUGGGUAGGCCUCACAAUCAUGGUGCAAGGUGAAAGGCAAGUCUCACAUGGCAGCAGACAAGACAAGAGAGCUUGUGCAGGGAAACUCCCCUUUAUAAAACCAUCAGAUCUUGUGAGACUUAUUCACUAUCAGAAGAACAGCAUGGGAAAGACCUGCCCCCAUGA